rnacentral:rRNA from 1 species
CAAUAGCGUAUAUUAAAGUUGUUGCAGUUAAAAAGCUCGUAGUUGGAUUUGUGGUGUACUUCGGCGGCCCGUCACUAUGUGAUGGAGCUUGCUGAAGUCGCCAUCCUUGGGUGGAUCCUGUGUGGCAUUAAGUUGUCGUGCAGGGGAUGCCCAUCGUUUACUGUGAGAAAAUUAGAGUGUUCAAAGCAGGCUUAUGCCGUUGAAUAUGUUAGCAUGGAAUAAUAAGAUAGGACCUUGGUACUAUUUUGUUGGUUUGCGCACCAAGGUAAUGAUUAAUAGGGACAGUUGGGGGUAUUCGUAUUUCAUUGUCAGAGGUGAAAUUCUUGGAUUUUUGAAAGACGAACUACUGCGAAAGCAUUUACCAAGGAUGUUUUCAUUA